CCUACGGGGGGCAGCAGUGAGGAAUAUUGGUCAAUGGACGAGAGUCUGAACCAGCAAAGGAGCGUGAAGGAUGACUGCCCUAUGGGUUGUAAACUUCUUUUAUAUGGGAAUAAAAUGUUCCACGUGUGGGAUUUUGUAGGUACCAUAUGAAUAAGGAUCGGCUAACUCCGUGCCAGCAGCCGCGGUAAUACGGAGGAUCCGAGCGUUAUCCGGAUUUAUUGGGUUUAAAGGGAGCGUAGGUGGAUUGUUAAGUCAGUUGUGAAAGUUUGCGGCUCAACCGUAAAAUUGCAGUUGAAACUGGCAGUCUUGAGUACAGUAGAGGUGGGCGGAAUUCGUGGUGUAGCGGUGAAAUGCUUAGAUAUCACGAAGAACUCCGAUUGCGAAGGCAGUUCACUGGACUGCAACUGACACUGAGGCUCGAAAGUGUGGGUAUCAAACAGGAUUAGAUACCCCAGUAGUC
rnacentral:rRNA from 1 species